AUGCUCAUGAACCGGCAAUGGAUGUACGGUGACAGACACACCUCCGAGUACAUUAAGGGCGUGCAUGAUUUUCUCGAAGUGGCUGAGGCAAACAAGCAGAAUGGUUUUAUGUGUUGUCCAUGCCCUACAUGUGGGAAUACGAAGUCUUACUCUGACCGGAAGAUCCUUCACACCCACCUGCUUUACAAGGGUUUCAUGCCACACUAUAAUGUUUGGACGAGGCAUGGAGAAAUAGGGGUUAUGAUGGAAGAUGGCGAAGAAGAAGAAGACGAUGACAACUAUGUGCCCCCUGAAUACGGUGAUGCUGCAACGGGGGAAGCUGCUGAAGAUCAAGAGGAACCAGACGAUGUGCCCAAUGAUGCUGCAAGGGGGGAAGCUGCUGAAGAUCAAGAGGAACCAGUGCCCGAUGAUGAUGAUCUCCACCGGGUCAUAGUCGAUGCAAGGACGCAAUGCGAAAGUCAAAAGGAGAAGCUGAAGUUCGAUCGCAUGUUAGAGGAUCACAAAAAAGGGUUGUACCUGUUGGGGAUUGUAGCAUAA
rnacentral:rRNA from 1 species